CCCUUAGAUGUUCUGGGCAGCACGCGCGCUACACUGAUUCAUGCAACGAGUUUUGUCCUUGGCUGAAAGGCCUGGGUAAUCUUUGAACGUGAAUCGUGCUGGGGAUAGAUGAUUGCAAUUAUUCAUCUUCAACGAGGAAUUCCUAGUAAACGCAAGUCAUCAGCUUGCAUUGAUUACGUCCCUGCCCUUUGUACACACCGCCCGUCGCACCUACCGAUUGAAUGGUCCGGUGAAAUCUUCGGAUCUGAGAGAUGUUGGAUUAAUUUCUGACGCCUUUUGGAAAAGUCGCUUAAACCUUAUCAUUUAGAGGAAGGUGAAGUCGUAACA
rnacentral:rRNA from 1 species